UUUUUUUUUUUUGGUGGUGGUGGUGUUGUCUUUUUUGUCUCUUUAGGGCCGCACCCGUGGCAUAUGGAGGUUCCCAGGCUAGUGGUCAAACUGGAGCUGCAGCUGGAGUCUAUGUCACAGCCACAGGAACACUGGAUCCAAGCAGCAUCAGCAACCUACACAGCAGCUUUCCUCAAUGCCAGAUCCUUAACUCACUGAACUAGGUUAGAGGUGGAACCCACAUCCUCACAGACACUGUGUCAGGCCCUUAACCUGCUGAGCCACAACAGGAACUGACUGUAUUUUCUUACAAAGGCAUAACCAAGUGCUUUACAGGAACUAAGAAAAAAAGUCUGCAAAUAGGUAAUGUAACAUUUCAUUACUGAGAAAUGUGCACAGGACUACCUAUCACAAACCAGUGAAUGUCACUGGAGGCAAGAGAAAUUGCCUGACUCUCAGAAAAGCUGAGAGACAUUACAAAGCAAUAACUGGCUUCUGGGCCAAUUCAUAAGGAGUUGUUACUUCUUUCUUAGUGGUACAUAAAGUAAUGGUGAACUUGCCAUUAAUAGAAUCCUAAAUAUAUCUUUUUCAUCAGGGUUAAGUAUUAAGUAAACCUUGAUAAGAGUUUGGAGUAAUAUGUAUUGCACUUAGGACUCACACACAUAAACUUCAUCUUCUUCAAGACCCGCAGGCCCUCAAACCCUCAAAGCCAUAAAACACACGUCCAAUCUUGGAAACCAUCUGAAGUGACAUUCUGCAAGGCAUAUGUAUGCUUAGCCAGCUACAUGGGGGAUUGUGUGUCACCUUUCCUACCUUCAAGCCUAGAAAGCUUCUAGAAAACAGGUCCAGGUCAUCAAUCGGGUUUGCUCACUUAAUGGAGGAGAUGAGCAGAACAUAUCCAGCCCACAGGCUAGCCUAAAACACAGCCUGGAAGAGCAUUAGGUGCUACGAGUGAAUGCUCCAAUCUCACAAAUCAAUAAAUCACUCUUAUUCCUGGGCAGAAGGCGCUGCUCGAGCUCAAAGGGAUGCAGAAGGAGCCGGAGGAGGGCUUCCAGGGUGACCCUGGGACAAGCGACUAGUACAACUAGCAAGUGGCUAUCUUCCAGCCAAACACCUAGUACGAAGGCGGCUACUUGAGAGCAUGCCUCAAGCCCCCCGUCUGUCUUACUUCCCUCAGCCUUUCGGCUCUUGACCAAGAUUUAGGACGAGACAGGGACGUACGCGUUUGCACGCUCCACACCCUGCGCCCCGCGCCCCGCGCCAAUCCCGGGCUGGCGGCUGCCCUUCGAGCGCUGGAACCCGGCCCCGCCCCCCGCAGCCUUGCGACCACCCUCCUGUGCAUCAGCCCCACACCUUCUCAUCAGCCGUCCUGAGGUGGAGGCAGUGGAAAGAGGGCAAAGCCAAGGUCCCCCGAGUACACAAGCAUCAUUCCGAAAGCAGGUCCUGGGACCAAGAUGGACGACAAGCGUCGCUGCGCCAAGGUGCCCAUCACGUGGUAGGCGAGCGCUGCGUGAAAACCGAGGCGCCGGCGCAGGAGGUUAGGACCCCCUGGACCUGCAGCACUGCAACCCGGAGGAUGGCAAGGCCUGGCCCAAGGCUGUUUCCGGGAGGACGAGGAUGACUCCGCAACCAGGAGUACCGACUCUGAAUAAACUUACAAAUUUUACCAAAGGAAAAACCACAAACAGAACAAAACAAACAAAAAACAGAAACAACAGUUCUGGAGGCCAGAAGUCUAAAAUCAAGGUGCGAGUUCCCUUGUGACGCAGCCAGUUAAGGAUCCAGAAGCUGGGUCGCUGGGGUUGGGGGGAACUUCCACGUGCAGGGGCGGGCCAAAAAGAAAAAAUAAAUUAAAAAAUAAAACAACAUUUUAAAAGGUGUUGUCAGCAUCGAUAUCUUAUGGAAGCUCUAUGAAUCCCUUACCUCUUUUCUAUUUUUGAUGGUUAAUGCAGUCCUUAGCAUUCUUUGACUCAUACUUGCAUAACUUGCCUCUGCCUCCAUCUUCACCUGGCUUCCCCCUGUAUCUCUGUGUCAAAUCUCCCUUCGCUUUCUCUUUGUAUACCAGUCAUUGGGUUUAUACACUAUCCUAAAUCUGGGAUUAUCUCAUCCCAAAAUCCUUAUUUUAAUUACAUGUGCAAAGAUCCUAUUUCCAAAUAAUGUCACAUUCAUAGGUACUAAAGGUUAAGACUUGAACAGAUCUUUGGGAAAAUACUAAACAAUCUUUAUGAAAGCUUGAGAACAAGGAUUUUCCUCCUACUUCUCCUUUAUUCCAGGAACUGUGCCAGGCACCAAAAAUCCAUAAAUGAGGAGUAUCAGUGCAGUCCCUGUCCUCGUGCCUAGAGUCCAUUCUUCACCUUCUACACUGCCAAGGCCCUAUUUGAAUGGUCUCCUACUUUUUCUCCCAGCCUCCAGUCUAACUAAUCUGAAAUACAACAAAACACAGCAAAACCCUAUACUAACC
rnacentral:lncRNA from 1 species